UACGUAGGGGGCAAGCGUUGUCCGGAUUUAUUGGGCGUAAAGAGCGUGUAGGCGGCCAGGUAGGUCUGCUGUGAAAACUCGAGGCUCAACCUCGAGACGUCGGCGGAAACCAUCUGGCUAGAGUCCGGAAGAGGAGAGUGGAAUUCCCGGUGUAGCGAUGAAAUGCGCAGAUAUCGGGAAGAACACCCGUGGCGAAGGCGGCUCUCUGGGACGGUACUGACGCUGAGACGCGAAAGCGUGGGGAGCGAACAGG
rnacentral:rRNA from 1 species